rnacentral:lncRNA from 1 species
UCAGACUCACACAUAAGCACACACGCUCACAUAUGCAUACAAGCUCACAGGCACACCCUGUUUGGGCAGUAAGUGCAGGGCCAUCUCCUGUCUGUUGUCACGCCAGUAGGCACUAUGGAGAAAGUCCAUUGUCUUUCUUUGUUCUGUGCUGUUUAGUGGCCAUGGGUGACUGUUGCCUAGGUGUGUUUUGUCGUUGGUGGUCUGCCCAGCAUUGUGACAUUAGAAUGUGGCCUCUCCAUCUUGCUGGACUUGUGCUGGGAAGAGAAACAGCACGUUUUAUUUAACUUCUCCCCACCCUCCCACCCCUACCCCUGGUCCUGGCUCCUCUGAACCUUUGCUUGCUCUAGAAAUGAGGACUGGUUCCUAAUCUGCACAAUCUGGAACAGUGAUUCCGAUCUUCCUGCGGGUUUUAUGUUCAUUCCUUCCUUCUGCACUGGACCUUGAUACUGCACACCCCGAUACUGGUCCCGCUGUCCCCUGGGCAGGUGUGGUUGCCUCAGGCCUCACCUUUGGCCAGGUGGGGCCAGGUGAUGCGUUUGCCAGUCUGCAUCACUAGGAAGAAACGACUCUAGACUGUUGACAGCGGCCACUCGGCCGCACCCCCUAUGUGUUUUGUUGACUUUGCCGUGUCUGCUCUAGGGUCUGCCCCAGAGCCAGGGUUUCAUUCUUCCUCCUUGGGCCAAGAGGCUUCUGAGCACUGUGUUGCUUCUGAAGAGGCUUUCCAGCCCUGACGAAAAGAACAAUGAAGGACUGCUGUGGUGGAGAGAGAGGCCAUUCCUCUUAGUAGCCUGGUUUUGGGGGGUGGGGGAGCUCUGAACCUGGCCCCGUUAUCCGGGUCAUGAAUUCUUUAGAGCAAUAGCGCGCUUAGAAUCAUUUGGAUGCUUUGGGAUCAGUUAUGCAUUCUCUUGCCCGGGACCCAAGAGCCUCUUACCGUCUAGAGAGUUACCCCUGUGGGAGGGGCGUAUUUGAUGUGUCGUGAAGGGCAAUGCAAUCCAUUUGAUUGGUGACAUAUUCUGUAAGUAUUCAUUGAGCUUUACAUAUGUUUCAAGGCCUGGGACAGAGCCCGAGAAGGCCGGUCCCCCUGGAGUUUCUGUUCAGGGUGAGGGACAGAGAUGACAAGAAGUAAAUGACUAAUAACGGAAUGUCAGAGGUUAAUAACGCUAGGAAGCCAUUAAAGCAGAGUGGUGGGAGAGACGCACCUGGCAGGGGGAGGGAGUUAUGGGAGUCUGGGCAGCUGGGCUUGUAGGGAGCUUCCCUGGGGCCAGGGUUGGGACACAAAAGUCCCUGAGGUGGAAUGGGUCACAGGCCAGCCUCAUGAAAGGUCUGGUGAAGGGCUUUGCUAGCUGAUGCAAGACAGGUGCAUUUGGAGUGUUGAGGAGCAGUUAAAUGGCUGAAGCCAAGAGGAUGCAGCAGCAGGGCCAGGGUGAGGGCCUGGCGCGAGCUGUGGAGGGCAGGUGAGGCUUUGGGGCAGCCUGGGCUAGCCGGAGGGAAAGGCGCAUCAGAGUCUAUCGGUGCCAUAGAGGAAUUUAUGACCUUACUGAACUUGAUGAGGAAUUGGCAGAGGGUAGUGAGCAGAGUAGAGCUUUCUCCAGAGUCCAGGCGUGGUCUGUGAGUACUGUAACCUACAGCAGUAACAACAGCACCCCCAACCCCCCACCCCGCCCCCACCUUUUUAACCCCCUUCGAGACAGGGCUUCUCUGCGCAGUCCUGGUGGUUCUGGAACUAGCUCUGUAGAUCAGAUUGGCCUGGAAUUCAUGGAAAUCUGCCUGUCUCUGGAGGGCUGGCAUUAAAGGCGUGAGCCACCGUCAUGGCUUCAUUAUCUUAUACUCUUACUUCCUGCUUUGAAAGAAGGCAUGAGGCUCAGACAAGUGAAGUGUUCCUUACUGUUCACACAGCUGCUUGGGGCUGGCUUGGAAGCUGCUGGCCGUGGAUCCAGCCUUCUUCUCCUUCCCUUCAGCGAUAGCCAUCAGUCCACAGUGUUAGCACAACCUGUGCAGAGUGUCCACGGCUACACUGAUGAAUUCAGAAUGGGAUGAUGCAUACUAAUGGCACUCCUGAUAACUUUCCUGAGAACCCAGAUCUUGACAUGUCUUUUAUUACUGUGUUUAUUACGGCUGAAAGCAGGGACUUUGCCAUCGCUGACCUAGGCAUAUACCACACAUGGCUCUGCAAGGUGUGGCUAGGCCCUCACCUCUGUGCUGCUUAACUGAUGGGCCAACGGUUUUCUCACCCUGCAAAUCCUUCUUACCACCUUCCCCAUGCCCGGCAAGGAAGGGAGCCCCAUCCCAGGGAGCUUGUCCCAUGGCUUUCCUUGGUGUCUCUAGAGGGGACUGUUACCUACCCCCAAGCCUGGUUUUGCUGCUGUGCUCACUGAUCUUCCUCAGAGACACUAACUGAAACUUGUCACUUAGGUGCCUUGCAUUUAGGCCUUACUAUAAGAUUUUUACAUUGAUUUAUUUAAAUCUUGAAAAGCCACACAUGUACUGUAAGCUGUUCCAACGGUGGAACUGGGUGUAAAAUGUGCGUUUUCUCCCAUCACUGUCUUGCCGUCAAUAGACUGGCCUUCCACCUAGUUCCUGCCCCUGCCCCUGCCCUGGAUGGUUUUUGUUUGUUUUUUUUUUUUAAGUCUUUUGAGACAGGGUCUCACUAAGUAGCCUUAGCCGGUUUGGAACUUGCAGAGACAGGCGGAUCUCUAUGUGUUUGAGGCCAGCCUGGUCUACAGAGCAAGUUCCAGGACAGGCUCCAAAGCUACAGAGAAACCCUGUCUCAAAAACCAGUCAACCAAACAAAAAAUGAAUUCCAUGAUAGCCUCUCAGACACAGGCAUACACUGAAAGCUGGGUACCCUGCCAUCAUCACGCCAUCUCUCACAGACCUCUGGAAAAUUUCUUCCUCUUUCAAUUGGAGAUGCUAAAGGUUCUUCAAAACAUUUCAUAGCUGCACAUGGUCGUGAAGGCACUUAGGAGUCUGAGGCAGGAGCGCAGGAGCUCAAGGUCAGCUUUGGUUGCCUAGUAAGUUUGAGGCUAGCCUGGGCUGCAUGAGACCCUGUCUCAAAAAAGGGAGGGGAAGUGCAUCUCUACUGUAAAAUAGAUGUUGCGUUGAAGACGUUUGUGAUGAGUCUUGUUGAGGUACUAUAAAUGCCAGGAAAUGUCCCCUGUGUUCAUCCUUAGUGGCCUUCCUGCAGCCAGACUGUGCUCCUCAGUUGAAGCUAGGACUUGGGCAAGAAAAGAUGGAACUUGAUUCCAGCUCAGCUACCAACUGGCUCUGUGACCUUGACCAGUGAGUCUCAUCAGCCCAGUAAGGACACUUAACAAGCCUGGGCUUGUUCGUUGAUCUCAGAUUGGAGUGAUUGGAAAUUCAGGAGUGUUAGGGCCCUUUGCAGCCUGGCCUCCAAUCACAUCCCAACGUUGUGCUUGAGAGGAUUGGUGUUAGGACCCACAAAAGCUGUGCAGGGCCCUGCUGCAUGUGGUGUAGCAUACACACUUUCCUUUUUAUUUUUUAAAAUGUAUUCGUUUUUAUGUGUAUGUAUGGAUGUCUUGCCUGCAGAUGUCAGUGCCAGAGAUGCCGGAAAAGGGCAAUGGAUCUUCUGAAACCGGAAUUGCAGAUAAUUGUGAGUCACCGUAUGGGUGCUGGGAAUUGAACCUGGG